rnacentral:lncRNA from 1 species
CAUAGAAUGACAUCUGCCUCAAAGAAAGAACAAAGAGAAAGGAUUCUUGAUUCUUUGUCUUUAAGCAGGUGUGACUUUUCUCAUCCAUACCCACAAUGAAAAGACAGGGCCAGCGUAAAACUGCCUGUUUUCAUUCAUUCUGCAACUCUCCAUUACAGAGCAUAGGAGGAUCUGAUCUGGUAAUAGGAUGCUCACCUUGUACUCUCUGCACUGGUGAAAAGGACUGUGAUUCGCUUAGCUGUGAUUCUGAGGCCCACACAGUGAAAGAACGUGGCCAUCUCUUGCUUUCAUCAUAUCAUGUAGGCACCAGAGAUUGCCAUAGCCAGGUGAAGCCUGAGCUUUUCCAAGAUCUUUCUCUAAAAUCUGUGGCUGCUGUUACCUCUGGUAGAAUCCCUUUCAGGAAGGGGUUUUUCUGCCUAGGGGGACAGCGGUGCCAUUCAUCACUGCUGGAGGCCUGAAUCCGGGGCUGGGGGCCCAUACGUGGAGAUGGGAGGGGCCAGGGGGCGGCCCCCUUGUGACCAGCCCUGAGGAGAGGUCAGAGCGAAGACUGGCAGAGGAGCGCCUGGACAGCAGCAGCAGCUGACUUUCUAGAUCAAGCGCCUUGGGGCCCCAGGUAACAACCCAGACCUUUUUACAAAUCGGCGGGCUGGGGAAGCUGCCGGGGCCGGGGCCGGGGCCGGGACCGGGCCGGGCCGGGAUCGGGGCCGGGAUCGGGGCCGGGAUCGGGAGAGGGAGCAGGCAGUUUGGGGGUCGCGCACUGUGGAUGGGGGUGGUCAUGCGUGAAGGGAGUCUGAAUUCUAGGGGAAACCCUAGGAAAUGAGAGGACAGGAGCAAGAAACGGGGUGUGAGGAGGGCACAGGCACGAAAGAGCAAGAGAGGGCGCUAGAGCGUGGCAUACAGCAAGUGCGCUUAGGAGAGGCUGGAGCAUAGGUAAGAAAGGAGUCAGGGGACACUUUCUUCUACUGAGUCAGUUUUUCCAAAGAUAACCUCCUUUCAGCCAUAUUUAACAUACAUUGUUGACUCAAAGGUUUUAAAGAUGCAAGGAAAGAACGUAGAGAAAGGUGCACCGAAGCGAGGCUGCACAGAGCGCCGAAAAAGACAGAGGGUUGUGCCUUUUAUAAAGAGUUGCCAUCCUUUUCACCCUAAAGCUCAGGCCAGUCCCCCUUCCCCCUCCCCCGUACCCGCAGUUCUGGCGGCCUUUGGAGCAGGUAGCCGCGGGCUCGGCACGCCACGCGAGCCCCGG